GAUGAACGCUAGCGGCAGGCCUAAUACAUGCAAGUCGAACGGUGUCUUCGGACAUAGUGGCGCACGGGUGCGUAACACGUAUGCAACCUACCUUACAUUGGGGGAUAGCCUUCCGAAGGGGAGAUUAAUACCGCAUAAGACAGUAGCUGGGCAUCCAGCAGCUGUUAAAGAUUUAUCGAUGUAAGCUGGGCAUGCGUCCAAUUAGCUAGUUGGUGAGGUAACGGCUCCACAAGGCAAUGAUUGGUCGGGGAACUGAGAGGUCAAUCCCCCACACUGGCACUGAGAUACGGGCCAGACUCCUACGGGAGGCAGCAGUAGGGAAUAUUGGGCAAUGGACGCAAGUCUGACCCAGCCAUGCCGCGUGCAGGAUGAAGGCGUUCUGCGUUGUAAACUGCUUUUAUACAGGAAGAAACGACUCUUGCGAGAGGCAUUGACGGUACUGUAUGAAUAAGCACCGGCUAACUCCGUGCCAGCCGCCGCCGUAAUAC
rnacentral:rRNA from 1 species